UUUGUUAAUAUUGCGAUUUGUGGGUCUUAUUUCUCUUUGGAGCUUGUGGCCUCUGGUAGAAAUUGGAUGGUCGCGACAUUUCUCCAUUGAAAUGAGUUCCAAUAUCAAGCAAUUGCUUUGUAAGAAGCUUAUUUAGCUCCAUUUGUAGAGCUACAAUAAGGAAGCUUGAUUGAUGAUAAUUUCAUGGAGCGUUUGGAUACUCAAUUCAAUUGAAUUGCAAUUAAUUAAUUAUACAAAAGUGGGCAGGAAACUCAUUGGUGAAUAUGCUAAUUGAUCUGGUCUGUCCAUCAGAACCACCUCUUGAAUUGGGUUUUGGCUAUUUAGAUUGAUUGGAUGGUCCAAACAAAGUGAUUGGUCGUCCCUUAACGGGUAUCGUUGGUGGUCGUGGAUUUUGGGAAAUUGCCUACUCAAGAGAUGGCCUUUCUAAGGAAUUGCUUCGACAAAAGCAAUUGAUGUGGCAAAAUCGAACAAUGUACCAUAUGAGCGGAUUUUAUGGGCAUAUAUAAAGCCAUUGGAUAUCAUCCUUGUGAUGUUUGGCUGGAGCAAUUCAGCUCAUUUUUGUUUGCUUAAAAAUAGGA